rnacentral:misc_RNA from 1 species
UUUCCGUAGGUGAACCUGCGGAAGGAUCAUUACCGAAUCGUCAAACACGGGUUGUUGCUGGCCUCCAAACGGGGGCACGUGCACGCUCUGUUUACACAUCCACUCACACCUGUGCACCCUCUGUAGUCCUAUGGUUCGGAAGACCCCGUCUUCCUUCUGUAGCUCUACGUCUUUACACACACACUGUAGCGAUGUCUCAUGGAAUGUUUUUAUGCGUUUAACGCGAUACAAUACAACUUUCAGCAACGGAUCUCUUGGCUCUCGCAUCGAUGAAGAACGCAGC